GCCCCAUUAGCUCAUGCUGGUAGAGCGCCUGUUUUGUACUCAGGAAGUCGCGGGUUCGAUUCCUGAAUGGGGCUUCA
rnacentral:tRNA from 1 species